AGCUAACCCAACUACUGCAGCAUGAGUUCUAGCCCCGGGGUCAAGUUAAAGAGCCAAGGCAGAGCUGACCUGGCCUUGAGAAGAUACUGCAUCAGCAACAACAAAAAGUUGUCUCACAGUAUAUCAGUAUUCUCAAAGGAAAGACUUCAAAGUUUAUGGCCUUGCUAAAACUCUGUGUCCAGACUCUAAGGCCCAAAAGGGAUAAGCAGUGUACUUCAUCAAUCUGCCUGUUCUGCACCCC